rnacentral:rRNA from 1 species
UUAGUUAUGUUCUUGAACUUAAAAAAUUUGGCGGUAUUUUAGUCUAUUCAGAGGAACCUGUUCUGUAAUCGAUAAUCCACGUUGGACCUUUCUUGAGUUUGUAUUCAGUUUAUAUACCGUCGUUAUCAGAAUAUUUUAUAAGAAAAAUAAUUUUCUAUAAAUUUAAUUAAAUUUUAUAUCAGAUCAAGGUGUAGCUUAUACUUAAGUAGAAAUGGGUUACAAUAAAAUUAUUUAUAUGGAUGUAAAUAUGAAAAAUUUACUGAAAGUGGAUUUGAUAGUAAAAUUAUAAAGAUUAAUAAUUUGACCUUAGCUCUAAAAUAUGUACACAUCGCCCGUCGCUCUUAUUAUUAAGAUAAGAUAAGUCGUAACCUAGUAGAUGUACCGGAAGGUGUAUCUAGAAUGACAAUUUAAAGCUUAUUUAGUAAAGUAUUUCAUUUACAUUGAAAGGAUUUUUGUGCAAAUCAAUAUAAAUUGAUUAAGUUUUAUUUAUUAAUUUUUUUUUUUAUAUUUUAAAUUAUUAAAAAUAAUUAUAAAUUUAAUUGUUUUAGUAUUGUAUAAAGAAUAAAUAAUUUUAAUAAUAGUUAAUUAGUAUCGUGAGAGAAUA